rnacentral:rRNA from 1 species
UACGUAGGGUGCGAGCGUUGUCCGGAAUUAUUGGGCGUAAAGAGCUCGUAGGCGGUCUGUCGCGUCGAUCGUGAAAACUUGGGGCUUAACCCUGAGCUUGCGGUCGAUACGGGCAUGACUGGAGUUCGGCAGGGGAGACUGGAAUUCCUGGUGUAGCGGUGAAAUGCGCAGAUAUCAGGAGGAACACCGGUGGCGAAGGCGGGUCUCUGGGCCAUAACUGACGCUGAGGAGCGAAAGCGUGGGGAGCGAACAGG